GUGGGCACGUUACAGCUGAGGAGGUUAGUAGUGGUGUGUCAUGGUGGUUCUUAUUUCCCUGAUUUCUACUGACGAUGAACAACUUUUCCAUUGGAUAUUCUGUUUUGUGAAGUGGCUUCUAAAGUCCUUUGCUCAUUUUUUUAAAUAGGGUUUCCUAAUAAUGUAAUGUUGAGAUAGGAGAUCAGCAGAACUUGUUUUCCAAGCACUGGUCAAGACCUUGGUCAUGAUCCCGCUGAUCAAAACAGAAUCUGGUCGGAACAGGAUGCAGUGAAGAAAUCAGCUGAAACCAGCUGGAACCAAGAUGGCAACAAAAGUGACCUCACUUUUGUCCCUCACUGCUCAUUAUAUGCUAGUGAUAAUGCAUGCUAAAAGACAUUCCCACCAGCACCAUGACAGUUUACACAUGCCACGGCAAUACCCAAAAGUUAUCUUAUGUGAUUUAAAAGGGGGAGGAACCCUCAGUUCCAGGAACUCCGGAUCCCUUUGCUAGAAAAUUCAUGAAUAACCUGCCCCUUAUUUAGCAUAUAAUAAGAAGUAGCUAUACAUAUAGAUAGCUGGUAGUCCAGGAGUGCUGCUCUGCCUAUGGGGUAGCCCUGUAAACCCCAUCCACCUGUAUGGAUGCUCUAUGAGCCCCAUUGCUCUUCUGGAAGGAGAGCUCGCUGUCCAGUACUGCGCGGGAUGACCGAGUGAACAGGGGACUGGAGACGAGAUGUGGCUGGAGACUGAGAGAAGCAGAGGAGUCACACUCCACUCACCUCCACCUCCCAAAGUGCCGGGAUCACAGGCUUGUGCCACUGCGCCCAAACAUAACUGAAGGUUUUACAGACAUGUCUGUGGCACCACAGAACACGAACGGUCCCAAUGGAAACCCCACGCCCAAUUUCCUCAGGGAACUGCUGUGGCGGAGGCUUG
rnacentral:lncRNA from 1 species